rnacentral:rRNA from 1 species
GCAUAUCAAUAAGCGGAGGAAAAGAAACUAACAAGGAUUCCCCUAGUAGCGGCGAGCGAAGCGGGAAGAGCUCAAAUUUAUAAUCUGGCACCUUCGGUGUCCGAGUUGUAAUCUCUAGAAAUGUUUUCCGCGUUGGACCGCACACAAGUCUGUUGGAAUACAGCGGCAUAGUGGUGAGACCCCCGUAUAUGGUGCGGACGCCCAGCGCUUUGUGAUACAUUUUCGAAGAGUCGAGUUGUUUGGGAAUGCAGCUCAAAUUGGGUGGUAAAUUCCAUCUAAAGCUAAAUAUUGGCGAGAGACCGAUAGCGAACAAGUACCGUGAGGGAAAGAUGAAAAGCACUUUGGAAAGAGAGUUAACAGUACGUGAAAUUGUUGGAAGGGAAACGCUUGAAGUCAGACUUGCUUGCCGAGCAAUCGGUUUGCAGGCCAGCAUCAGUUUUCCGGGAUGGAUAAUGGUAGAGAGAAGGUAGCAGUUUCGGCUGUGUUAUAGCUCUCUGCUGGAUACAUCUUGGGGGACUGAGGAACGCAGUGUGCCUUUUGGCGGGGGUUUCGACCUCUUCACACUUAGGAUGCUGCGAGCGAAGACGGGG